CUAAAUGAACCGCCAGUUCUCUUUGCUCCGGCAGAGAUUGAGCAGGCAUCAACCCUUUGUGAACUGUAAUUGUACUUGGGUACACUUUGCCUAGUGUAAAGCGUACCCGCCUUAAUAACUCCUAUAUGUUUAUCUGAAUAGUGACCUAAGAGAUA
rnacentral:misc_RNA from 1 species